rnacentral:rRNA from 1 species
AUUGAACGCUGGCGGCAUGCCUUACACAUGCAAGUCGAACGGUAACAGGUCUUCGGAUGCUGACGAGUGGCGAACGGGUGAGUAAUACAUCGGAACGUGCCUAGUAGUGGGGGAUAACUACUCGAAAGAGUGGCUAAUACCGCAUGAGAUCUACGGAUGAAAGCAGGGGAUCGCAAGACCUUGUGCUACUAGAGCGGCCGAUGGCAGAUUAGGUAGUUGGUGUGGUAAAAGCUUACCAAGCCGACGAUCUGUAGCUGGUCUGAGAGGACGAUCAGCCACAGUGGGACUGAGACACGGCCCAGACUCCUACGGGAGGCAGCAGUGGUGAAUGUUGUACAAUGGGCGAAUGCCUGAUCAAGCAAUGCCGCGUGCGGGAUGAAUGCCUUCGGGUUGUAAACUGCUUUUGUACGGAACGAAAAGCUCUGGGUUAAUACCCUGGGGUCAUGACGGUACCGUAAGAAGAACCACCGGCUAACUACGUGCCAGCCGCCGCCGUAACAC